GGGCGCGUAGCUCAGUGGGAGAGCACUUGACUCACAUUCAAGAGGUCGCAGGUUCGAAACCUGCCGCGCCCACCA
rnacentral:tRNA from 1 species